UGGGCUUGUAGUUUAACUGGUAAAACACCCGACUCUUAAUCGGCGAGAGUGUAGGUUCGAGUCCUGCCGGGCCCAU
rnacentral:tRNA from 1 species